GUCUAACGUCUGGAUCUGUGGUUCCAGGUUUUAGGACAGACCACAGAAACUCUCGCUGAGUUCCCACAGUUUCUUGGAGGUGGCGUCGUCCCUGGCCUUGGGGUCGAUGUUGGUCAGAGGGGAGCACUGGUCGAAGUAGUGCCCGCUGAGGUGUUCGAUGCCUGGCUCCAGGGCACAGUACAGGGUGGUCUGAGCUCCAGCUUCAGCAUCCUUAAAGAAGAGGAAUUCCACAGGCUUGAUGAGGAGCGUCCACCAGAAGCUAGAGUCUCGAAAUAUCUCCGUCAUUAUGGCUCCUGGAGAGAAAAGAGGAAAUGUUUAACUGACAGAAUAUUUACUGUGUCUCUUUGUAGUCAGUUUUAUCAUUUUCACCAGCCUCUAUACCCCUUGUGAUGCCGGUGUCUCCCACCACUGUCCACCAUGUCAAUCUUCCGAUUCAACUUCUGCAUACAAGCUGCUGGUUUCCCUUGCCUCCAUCCCCCGACAUCAACAAUCUUUUUUUCAAACUUCUGGCACCGGGAUGCCUGUUAGGAUUCUGCCCCAGUUGCUGCCUUUUUGUCCCUUUCCCAUUUUUUCCUCCGUUGUUGUCUUGUUUCUCUGGCUCCCCCUGUCUGCUGCACCCUGCCUACUGUUGCCGUCAGCUGAUGCAAUUAAGCCCAAUUCCAUUCACCUGGUCCCCUCCUCUGCUAUUUAAGCCCUGCCCUUUCCCUCAGUCUUUGCUGGCUCAUUGUUGGACACACACACAGUUUCAGACUCCGCUCCCCCGCUUUCCCUUCUCUGGAUUACAUCAGUUUUUGGACUUCUCUGCUUUUCUCCCCUUUGUGGAUUCAACCCUUUUUUUGGACCCUAUAGUUUUGUUGGACUUCAGUUUGUUUUCGUCUUAGCCAUUUGCUCUCCCGUAUGUGAGUAUCUUUUUGUAGCCCUGCCGUUUACCACUGUGUAGUUUCCUUUUAGUCACUUCAGUCCUGUUUUCUGUUUUUGUAGUAAUUUUGAUUUCGCUUAAUAAAUCCUUUUAAUUAUG